UACGGGGGGGGCAAGCGUUGUUCGGAAUUACUGGGCGUAAAGGGUUUGUAGGUGGCUUGUUAAGUCAGACGUGAAAUCCCUCAGCUUAACUGGGGAACUGCGUCUGAUACUGGCGAGCUUGAGUGCAGGAGAGGAACGCGGAAUUCCAGGUGUAGCGGUGAAAUGCGUAGAUAUCGGGAGGAACACCAGCGGCGAAGGCGGCGAUCUGGGGCGAUACUGACGCUGAGGUGCGAAAGCGUGGGGAGCAAACAGG
rnacentral:rRNA from 1 species